GAAUAAUAAUACUACAAAACCCCUUCUUUUCCCUCUCGUUUUAUUUUCUCUCUCCUAAUUCAUCCUUUUUAGCUUCAAUCCCCAAGAACUUAUUCUACUUCAUCACCGAUCAUCUUAGGGUUUCAAUUUUCGAAUAUGGAUUCCUUCGCUUAUCAUGAUGCUAACAUUUCUAAUUUGAUUGAAAAUCGUACUAUCACCUACCGCCAUGAUGGUAAGCAUACUUUACACAUGCACUCGUCUAUGGUACGGAGGCUGGCACUGGAAAGAGAAUUGGAGGGACAUAUAGGUUGUGUAAAUACUAUUGCAUGGAACUCUAUAGGUUCGCUCCUGAUAUCCGGAUCAGAUGACACUCGGAUCAAUAUUUGGAGGUACUCUGAUCGUAAGCUUUUGAAUUGCAUUGAUACGGGUCAUUCUUCCAACAUAUUCUGUACGAAGUUUAUACCUGAGACUUCUGAUGAGAUUGUGGCAUCUGGGGCUGGUGAUGCAGAGGUUCGUAUAUUCAACACCUCUUGCUUAAGUGAAGGAAGGGUUGAAGAGACUGCAGUCGUUCCGUGUGCUCAUUUUCAGUGUCAUAAUAGAAGAGUUAAAAAAUUAGCGGUUGAAGUUGGAAACCCGAAUGUGAUCUGGAGUGCUAGUGAGGAUGGAACUUUGAGACAGCAUGAUCUUCGUGAAAGCAGUUCUUGUCCUCGGCCUGGAUCGUCUAAUCAAGAAUGUCGCAGUGUACUACUUGACUUACGCGGUGCUGCAAAAAGGUCCUUGAUGGAGCCUCCUAAGCAGCUUCUUCAACUGAAGUCUUGUGAUAUCAGUGUGACAAGGCCCCAUCUGCUUCUUGUUGGCGGGAGUGAUGCAUUUGCUCGCUUGUAUGAUAGAAGGAUGCUGCCUCCAAUGUCUUCCUGUCGCAGAAAAAAUUCACCCCCUCCUUGUGUUAACUAUUUUUGCCCAAUGCAUCUCUCUGAGCGGGGACGGUCGAGCUUGCAUCUAACUCAUGUAACAUUUAGUCCUAAUGGCGAAGAAAUUCUGAUGAGCUAUAGUGGAGAGCAUGUCUACCUUAUGGACCUAAAGCAAGGUGGUGGGAAUUCUGUGCAGUACACAUGUGGAGAUGUUGAAAAUCGAUGGAGCUUUUCUCCUUUUCCUAACGCAGUGGAACUUUCAUCUCUUGGAGCUGUUGCUUCUGAAAAUUUCUCAGCCAAAAGCAAUGCAGGUGUGCAGAAUGGCAAGUGCACAAAGCUGGUGGAAAUGGCAGAAAAAUGUUUGGAAGUGGGGACACAAUACUACUCUGGUAUUGAAGCAUGCAAUGAAGUUCUGGAUGGAGGUCAUAAAAUUGAUCCCCUGCUAAAGCAUGAUUGUCUCUGUGCACGUGCUGCCUUGCUCCUAAAGCGGAAGUGGAAAAAUGACGCUCACAUGGCUGUAAGGGAUUUGAAUCAAGCUCGAAAAAUUAAUUCUUCUUCAUUUAAAUCACACUUCUGCAUGUCUGAAGCCUUAUCUCAGUUGGGCAAGCACAAAGGAGCUCUAGAUUUUGCUCUUGCAGCUCAGUGUCUGGAUCCCUCGAAUGCUGAAGUGGCAGAAAGGGUGGAAAUUAUAAGGAAGCAGUUGUCGGCAGCUGAAGCUGAGAAGAACAAGAAGUUGAAUGAUACAGGAUCCAAGUCUGAACCACGUGCUGGUAGAGUGAUCUCACUAAGUGACAUACUUUAUCGUUCAGGGGCUAACAGUGAUGCUUCACAAGAUGGUCCUCGAUCAGAAAGAGAUGACUCUGAUUAUGAUGAAGAACUAGAAUUGGAUUUCGAAACGUCCAUGUCAGGUGAUGAGGGCCGUGAUGCUGAAUCAAAUGUCCUUCAUGGAAGUUUAAAUUUGAGAAUGCAUAGAAGAGCUGAUUCAGCUAAAGAAGCUGGUGGUUCAAAUAGCACAUGUGGAUCUCCUUCUUCCUGUCAAAAUGACAAAACGAUUUAUCAGCCAGAAGCAGUCAUCGAUAUGAAACAGAGAUACGUUGGUCACUGUAAUGUAGGAACUGACAUAAAACAGGCUAGUUUCUUGGGGCAGAACGGUGAUUAUAUUGCAAGUGGAAGUGACGGUGGCCGAUGGUUUAUUUGGGAAAAGAAAACCGGCAGAUUGGUUAAAAUGCUUCUUGGCGAUAAAGCUGUGGUAAACUGUGUCCAGUGUCACCCUUUCGAUUCUGUUGUGGCUACAAGCGGAAUAGAUAGCACAGUUAAGAUUUGGACUCCGAGUGCUUCAGUCCCUUCAAUGGUAGCUGGUGGGUCAGCUGGUCCUGAUACAGCUAAUGUAUUGGAAGUGAUGGAGGGAAAUCAACAUAGACUGUGUGAGACACAUGAAGCAAUUCUGUUUCUCUUCAGAAGUCCAUUUGAUUGUGAGGAUGUUUUUGCAACAUGACAUGCCUUACCCAAAAUAUCUGCCUCUUGAGCUGUUGGAGAGGUUUCGCAUGCAUGAUUUUACUGAAGGAACAUUGCAUCCUUUUGAGUGUGCUCAGAGCUAGCUGCUCUCCUACAUAUUCCAGGCUAGUCUCUGGCUAUUAUUCGUCAGUCUGCCGCUUGGUCAAGUGAAGGAAACCUGAAGGAUUUUAUGGAAUCACAAAGCAUAUGUCAUCAUCACCCAUGGAGUUUUACAGCAAUUUGUUUGUAUAAUCAGAGGCAGCAUUGUUCCACCAUGUUGCUGCCUUUUUCUUUCUUUUCUGUUCUUUUUUCUGUUUAUGGUUUUUUUUUUGUGUUCUUUUUAGUUUUUGCUCUGACUGGGUCCGGAAAGCCAUUGUGAAGGUGCAUGGUUGGCUGGUUGCUAUGUAAAUUGGUUGAGAAACAAUAAGGUUGAGCACAGUACAGUUCCUUAUUUUCGAUUUUCGACACAGGUUUUGUAAGUUGACUUUGCCAGUGUAAUUGGGUUCAAUUUCUAUGUAAAGUAAUAAUAUUCCUGUUAUAUAAGUUAGAAACUUGUCUUGUA